CCCAGCAAGGGCCCACGGCUGGGCUCGGCCUUCCCCUCUCCUCUCCAUCCCAGAGGCCAGGCCGCAGGGGCCUGGUGCAGGCCGGCCUUACCAGGAAGGGGAAGAAAAUGUUGACAGGAAAGCAAGAACAUUUCACUUGCAAAAGACCUAGUAUUAACCCAAUGGAGAAGGAAGCUUACUUUCAUUAAUGCCCAUUUAGAAUUUAAACCCUAAGACUGGAUACCAUGGCAACAUCUGGUUAGGAGAAGCCGAAGAGAUAUUUGAAGGUUUGCAAUUGUUAAAGUCAUUGGCCUGUAACAGACAUGUAUUAAUUGCAAGUGAAUAUGACAGCCCAGCCCAGAUUUCUGAGCAAGAAUAAAACAUCAGCUUCAUUGGAGACUUAGGAACUGAACAAGAGAUGAAUAAAAUACCGUGAUGUCUGACUUCAAA